UACAUGUGGGGCAAGCGUUGUUCGGAAUUACUGGGCAUAAAGGGUGCGUAGGCGGUUUGUUAAGUCACAGGUGAAAGUUUUCGGCCCAACCGGAAAAUUGCCUGCGAUACUGGCGAACUUGAGUGCGUGAGGGGUUGGGGGAACGAGCAGUGUAGCGGUGAAAUGCGUAGAUAUCAUGAGGAAUACCAGAGGCGAAGGCGGCUACCUGGACAAUUGCUGACGCUCAGGCACGAAAGCGUGGGGAGCAAAAGGG
rnacentral:rRNA from 1 species